rnacentral:sRNA from 2 species
AGAAGAACGACACCGGAGCUGGUGCGGGGAAGUCCUGUGCGAAUCAGGCGCGGUCCCGCCACUGUGUAGGUGCCGGGCACACUGCCCGGCACCGAAGUCAGAUCACCGCACAGCUUCGUAGUACGGCCCGUCUGUCCGGCGGGUCAUU